rnacentral:rRNA from 1 species
GUUGUAUAGUCAAGUAAUUAAGUGCAUGUGGUGGAUGCCUUGGCAGUCAGAGGCGAUGAAAGACGUGAUAGCCUGCGAAAAGCUCCGGGGAGGCGGCAAAUAUCCUUUGAUCCGGAGAUGUCUGAAUGGGGGAACCCACCUACUUUAAGGUAGGUAUUGCAACAUGAAUACAUAGUGUUGCAAGGCGAACGAGGGGAAGUGAAACAUCUCAGUACCCUUAGGAAAAGAAAUCAAUUGAGAUUCCCUCAGUAGCGGCGAGCGAACGGGGAUCAGCCCAUUAAGUUAUGUGU